rnacentral:lncRNA from 1 species
UGGCAAUGGUGUCCCCAAAUAGUUCGGGGUGAUGAAAGAAAUCAGCUUGGGAGAGACACCUCCCUGUUUGUCUUCUCAGCUUGGGAGCGGGCCCCAGUGCAGCUCUGCCUCAACCCCCGCCUCUCUCUGCCCAGGGCUACACAGGACUCAGAGGUGUUGCAUUCCGAGUGUGUGAAAAGAGCAAAAGGAAUAUGAGUCAGAGAAAUAAUUCCUGGGCCAACCUCACCCUAGACUUGUUUCAUUAAAGUGGGGAGCUAGAGAGGGGGAACCGUCUUUUGCCAAAGUCUCCACACUGUUCCAACUUGCCUUUGACGUGAAGACUCAGCAGACCCAGGGCUGACAAGCUGAGAAGGGCUUGAUUUAUGGAGCCCUCUUCUGUCCUGGGAGGACAUUGAGCCCUGAAAACUGAGGCUCUAAAGUGCUUAUAAAUGAUGCGAGCUGACCCUUUGCCUCCCCUGCCUAGCACCCCAGAGUAAAUUUCCAAAAAGGACAGAGAAGCUUCUUCUGUACGGAUGCCAUUAGGUGCGUUGGAUGAAGAGCUGGGCCAGUCGCUGGGUUCCUCAAGGCAGGAAGCUCGAGUUUGUCGAGGCAGUUUCCCCCUAGCUCCUGCUACCUGUCACCCUUCUUCGGGGAUCUUGCAUCAGUACCAGGGCGAUCUUUAAUGAUAGGAGUGCAGAGAUGCCCCAGUUGUCAUAGCCUGACUCGAAUGGCACAAACACCUGAGUUUCUACAGACUUUUAAAAGAUGGUCUGCCCAGUGAAUACAGCCCUGGCUCACUUCCCUGGAAUGAUGAAAUAUAUUGCAUGUUUCCUUUACAGCAGUACCUCCAGAAUUUCUAUAGAAGAGAGUCUCAGUCAGCUAGAAAAGUUCUAGGAAGUCAACAGGUUGACAUGGCAACUUGGGAGAAGAGGUGGUGCUGGGAAAAGGUUGAGGCAGAGCGGACAAGCUCAUGUAAUGAGGACCAGCGUUUUCCAGAGCCUGAAAGUAUGUGGCUGCUUGAAUUGAGAGGCUGCCACGUUGAUUCGCUUUCUCUCAUUCGUUAUACAGUUGUUUCUGAAAAUCCCACUUCCUCCACAGGACCUUUCCAGGAUGGGUCCCAUCAGAUUCCGUAUCUUCACCGUUUGCCGAUGAUAUUACAAUUCAGACGUAUACACUUUCUCUCUCUGCCUAAAUUCUCACUGGCCUCUGGCCCAUAUUUACAUUUAUGGCUUAGUAAAUUGUACCUACUGUGUCCUCUCAGGAUACAGACCACACGCAUCCUAGCCAAAGAACUGUGACAGUAGAAAGAAGGCUUAGUUAUUCCAGUCCACUCGUUUCACAGAUGUGAACAUGCAAGUUACCAGAGACUUUGUAAAACUUGCCUAGUCAGUGACUUUGGGCACAUGAACGUCAUUUUGCCAGGGCAGGGCUGGUAUUGCGCGGUGUUGGAUGUGCCAUCCUGAUGAGCUCCACCUCAGCCUCCCUCCCCUGUCCUGGGCAGUAUCCGUGGGAUCCACGGGUGGCGCGGUGUCCUCCUUCUGCCUCCACCAUCCUCAUUCCCUGGUACUCACCCCCAGCACAUACAGACCCUCCUGUUUGGCUCCAGUGUGGAAGAAAAAACUGGCUGGCAGCCGAUAAAGUGGAGUGAACAAGAGAGGAAGAGGAAGAACAGAAAGGCUGCAGACAAAGGAAAAUUUUCCUGUCAACAGAGAGCGAAUGAAACUGAUCAUGGUGAUUUUUCCAGUUCACAAAGAGGAACUCCAGAGCUGUUUGGACCAUGGCAGCCACUUCUGAAGAAUACUGUGGAUCUGGAUCUCUGUGUUCCAGUGUGUUCAUGGCGAGAAGAAGCAGCUCUUUAACAUAUAAGUAUUCUAACUUGUCAUUCUCCUUUUUUUAAAUGCAAAAUACAUUUCUUUCUUUUCUUUUUUCUUUUUUGUCUUUUUAGGGUUGUACCCACAGCCUAUGGAGAUUCCCAGGCAAGGAGUCUAAUUGGAGCUGUAGCUGCCAGCCUAUGCCACAGCCACAGCAACAAGGGAUCUGAGCCAUGUCUUCAACCUACACCACAGCUCACAGCAACGCCGGAUCCUUAACCCACGGAGCGAGGCCAGGGAUCAAACCUGCAACCUCGUCGAUACUAGUCGGGUUCCUUAACCACUGAGCCAUGACAGGAACUCCAGAAAUAUGGCUGUAAUUCCAGGCUAGAAAGGGAGAUUCUUGACACUCAGAAACAGUGUAAUAAGAGAUAAAAUGAUGGAAAUUUCAGUGCAAACAAAGGUUAGGUUGUACUUUUUUUGUUUGUUUGUUUUGGCACAUGUACUUCUUUGUUUUUGUUCAUUUGUUGUUAAUAAUUAUUUAAUAAAGUAAAAAACAGU